rnacentral:rRNA from 1 species
GAGCAACGCAGCGUGAGGCGAAGCAGGUGUUGGGAUGGUAAAGCUAUGGUGUCAGGGAAGAACAAGUACCGUUCGAACAGGGCGGUACCUUGACGGUACCUGACGAGGAAGCCACGGCUAACUACGUGCCAGCAGCCGCGGUAAUACGUAGGUGGCAAGCGUUGUCCGGAAUUAUUGGGCGUAAAGCGCGCGCAGGCGGUUCCUUAAGUCUGAUGUGAAAUCUCGCGGCUCAACCGCGAGCGGCCAUUGGAAACUGGGGAACUUGAGUGCAGGAGAGGGGAGCGGAAUUCCACGUGUAGCGGUGAAAUGCGUAGAGAUGUGGAGGAACACCAGUGGCGAAGGCGGCUCUCUGGCCUGUAACUGACGCUGAGGCGCGAAAGCGUGGGGAGCGAACAGGAUUAGAUCCCCUG